rnacentral:lncRNA from 1 species
AAUGGUCAGGUUUAAUGGAUAGUUGGAUAGUAAAAUGGAUGUGGUUUCCAUUAUGGGUAUAAAAAUAAAAAUACAACAAAUUCAAAUUAGUGGAUGGUUUUUAAUUUUUCUUUCCUAUAAAUCAAACAUUAAAGAGCAUAAAUUUUUUCUUUCUUUCAGAAACUAUUUUUCACGAAAAAUUAUUUUUCAAAAUUUUAUGUGAAACCAAGUAGCCCUACAUCUAAAUCUACCGUAUCAUAUUUACACUAAUAUCAGCAAUAACAAAUCAAUCACAUCUACUUUUUUUUAAAAAAUAUAUAAUAAAAUAUUUUUUCAUAGUCAUGAUAUGACGGAUUAAUUCAAAAUAAUCUGUUUGAUUAAUUAAAAAUAUCACGUCACUAAUAUAACUGGUGCAUUCUAGAAUUUUUCCCUCCCUUGAGGUGGGAUUUGAAGUGCCCAUUCAUGAAUGCAAUCAAAAGUUAAAAACACAACCAUCCAAUUUGCUUUAAAAUUCGCGCCGAACAACUAGGGUUUUUUACGCGCCCACGUCGGUGCACCUAACAUCCUCCCCCACCCCCCUUGCAUGUGCUCGUCGCCACCGUCGCCAUCGCUUUUAACAAAUCGUUAUAUUGUGUUAUAUAUGUAUAAUAUUAUUGGCUAAAAUAGGUUAAUUUUUUUGUUUCGUGAUAAUAAACUCAGCAGACUAAUAAGUUGAGUUGGAUGAGUCUAAUAAAUUGAGUGGGACUGCGAUCUACAAUAGACCUAUAUAUAUUCAAAAAUAAACCUAAUGUUCAGAUAAACUAAGUCAGAUCGAAAUCUAUAAAUACUGUGGUUGGGCUUUUAAGUGUGACGAGUAUGCCCUUUCUAUCAGCGUGUGCUUUUGGGAUAGUUGUUUAACGCUUACGCUACAUGAAUAUAUCAUAUUCCCUUCAAUUAUUUAUUUAUUUAUUUUAUUUAUUUAU